rnacentral:rRNA from 1 species
CGAACUGCCGUUGACAAAACGGAGGAAGGUGGGGAUGACGUCAAAUCAUCAUGCCCCUUAUGUUCUGGGCUACACACGUGCUACAAUGGCCGGUACAGACGGACGCAAAGCCGCGAGGUGGAGCAAAUCCUAAAAAGCCGGUCUCAGUUCGGAUUGCAGGCUGCAAUUCGCCUGCAUGAAGUCGGAAUCGCUAGUAAUCGCAGGUCAGCAUACUGCGGUGAAUACGUUCCCGGGCCUU